AACCUUAUGGACCUGCGGGCGUAUACCUGCGGAAGGAUCAUUACAGAGAAACAUGCCCUUCGGGGUAGAUCUCCCACCCAAUGCAUACAAUACCGCGUUGCUUUGGCAGGCCCGUCUUCUGACCACCGGCUUCGGCUGGUCCGUGCCUGCCAGAGGAUUGAAAAUUCAAUCUCUUCUGUUUUCUGGGUUAAUAUUUUGAAUCGUUAAAACUUUCAACAAUGGAUCUCAGAUCGGAAGAGC
rnacentral:misc_RNA from 1 species